rnacentral:rRNA from 1 species
GAUGAACGCUGGCGGCGUGCCUAAUACAUGCAAGUCGAGCGAACAGACGAGGAGCUUGCUCCUCUGACGUUAGCGGCGGACGGGUGAGUAACACGUGGAUAACCUACCUAUAAGACUGGGAUAACUUCGGGAAACCGGAGCUAAUACCGGAUAAUAUAUUGAACCGCAUGGUUCAAUAGUGAAAGACGGUUUUGCUGUCACUUAUAGAUGGAUCCGCGCCGCAUUAGCUAGUUGGUAAGGUAACAGCUUACCAAGGCAACGAUGCAUAGCCGACCUGAGAGGGUGAUCGGCCACACUGGAACUGAGACACGGUCCAGACUCCUACGGGAGGCAGCAGUAGGGAAUCUUCCGCAAUGGGCGAAAGCCUGACGGAGCAACGCCGCGUGAGUGAUGAAGGUCUUCGGAUCGUAAAACUCUGUUAUUAGGGAAGAACAAAUGUGUAAGUAACUGUGCACGUCUUGACGGUACCUAAUCAGAAAGCCACGGCUAACUACGUG